ACUUUUCGGAAUUGAAAAAAAAUAUUUUUAACCCCGCUCAAAUUAUCCGGAUGAUAAUAGUUUCACCGAGCAUGGUUUCGUAGUUAAAUUCAGACCGUAGAACAUCCGGUUUGAAUACAUGUGUUUUCUGACUUUUCGGAUAGCCAACUCUUGUUUUUUGGAACUUACGACUUACGGCAAGAGAGAAGAAAACUGUGUGACUUUAAAAGAAAACCAGUGAGAUGAAAUUAUAGAAAAUGUAUGAUGAUUCAGGAUGUGGUCAUUUGUGACAUUAAAACAGGAAUUGUCAUCACCAAUAGACGAAUUUCACAUUCCUAAGAGUUUCCUCCAAUUGUCGACGUAUCGCUCAUU